GACGCAGUUGCAGCGAGAGCCAGGAGGAGCAGCUUGUGAUAAUAACUGUAAUCGAAAGCAGAUGAAACUAAAGACAGGGCAGACGAAUUUCAAACUGUACUGAAAGGAGUGUUUUUAAAAGCUGAAGCAAAUGGUAGGACUGUGCAGCUGAGUGACAAGUGUGAUCGCUUCACACAGCUGGUUUCUAUUGCUGUUAAUGGCCAGACAGCCAGAGGAAAAGACACCACCAGGCACCACUCCUGACAUUCUCUCAACGAGCCACUUUACAGCGAUCAAGGCUGUUUGGUAUUCUGCUUGUGUGAUACUGCACACUAUGGCCGGACUGUUCCUGAGGUCAUACCACCGCCAGACGAGAAACCUAAUUGACUUCAGGGUUAGACGAGUGACCCUGGAGGGGAAUGAAAAAUAGCUCUGCUCAGUCCUCGGAGGCUUGGCUUAGCGGUGCUGAGGGCGGUGAAACCUGCUGUUAACAUAUUUGCAGGCGGAAUGAAUUGGAGAUUAAUUUGACUGCUGGAGCCACACAAUCCUUGUUAUCCAUUAGCCUGCAGAGGGAGCAGUCAGCAGAACUGGUGAGCCAUCAUAAGGUGAGAUAUAACUGCCCAGUUACACCCUUUGCAACACAAUACGAAAGGUUUACAGCAUACUGAAAGGUAUGUGAAUGUAUGAA